UACGUAGGUGACAAGCGUUUGUCCGGAAUUAUUGGGCGUAAAGAGCGUGUAGGCGGUCCGGUAAGUCAGCUGUGAAAGUCAAGGGCUCAACCCUUGAAAGCCGGUUGAUACUGUCGGGCUAGAGUCCGGAAGAGGCGAGUGGAAUUCCCGGUGUAGCGGUGAAAUGCGCAGAUAUCAGGAGGAACACCGGUGGCGAAGGCGGAUCUCUGGGCCUUACCUGACGCUGAGGCGCGAAAGCUAGGGGAGCGAACAGG
rnacentral:rRNA from 1 species